rnacentral:rRNA from 1 species
GACGAACGCUGGCGGCGUGCCUAAUACAUGCAAGUUGAGCGCUGAAGGUUGGUACUUGUUCCAACUGGAUGAGCAGCGAACGGGUGAGUAACGCGUGGGGAAUCUGCCUUUGAGCGGGGGACAACAUUUGGAAACGAAUGCUAAUACCGCAUAAAAACUUUAAACACAAGUUUUAAGUUUGAAAGAUGCAAUUGCAUCACUCAAAGAUGAUCCCGCGUUGUAUUAGCUAGUUGGUGAGGUAAAGGCUCACCAAGGCGAUGAUACAUAGCCGACCUGAGAGGGUGAUCGGCCACAUUGGGACUGAGACACGGCCCAAGCUCCUACGGGAGGCAGCAGUGGAAUCUUCGGAAAAGGACGAAAGUCUGACCGGGCAAAGCCGCGUGAGUGAAGAAGGGUUUCGGAUCGUAAAACUCGGUUGGUAGAGAAGAACGUUGGUGAGAGUGGAAAGCUCAUCAAGUGACGGUAACUACCCAGAAAGGGACGGCUAACUACGUG